rnacentral:rRNA from 1 species
UAAACUAUAGUGAUUUUAAAUAAAGGAGCCCGAAAUAGUAAGAUCAAAAAAGUUAUUUGGUUUUGUAAUUAAAGUUCAAUGUGUAGCAUAAUAUAAUUUUAAUAACUUUUUAGAGGAGAUAUUCCAACAGUUAUUAAGAUAGCUGGAUUAAAGGGAAAAGUAUUAAGUACUUAAAACAAUUAUAAAGUGAUAAGAUUUUAUAAUAGAAAUAAGUUGUUUUUAGAUCAGCCAGGGUUAAUCCCCUAAAAGUUGGAAAUUCUUAGCAUAUUUUGAAUAUACCUUUUUAAAAUCACCUUUAAACUUAAGCUAACUAAACACUUAAGGCUAUAAUGUUUAAAUUAGUAUUUUUGGUAACAAAUUUUAUCAAGGAACUCGGCAAAUUUCAUAUUCGACUGUUUAACAAAAACAUAGUCCGUUGCCAUUUAUAAUGGAUAUAUACUGCCCGGUGAUAUUAUUAAACGGCCGCAGUACCAUGACUGUGCGAAGGUAGCAUAAUAAUUUGGCCUUUAAAUGGGGUCUAGAAUGAAAGGAUAUACGAAUAGCAGCUGUCUCCACCUUAAUUAAAAAAAACUUAUUUAAAAGGUGCAAAUACCUUUAUAUUAAUAUAAUAGACGAGAAGACCCUUAGAAUUUAAUUUAAAAUAAAAGAUUAUUUAUUCUGAUUUUGUUGGGGCAACAAAGCAGCAAAUAUUUAAUCUGCUUUUUAGAUAUUAGGAUAGGCCGACUAAUAGUAUGGAUAUAAAAAUUACCUUAGGGAUAACAGCAUAAUUUAAUAAAGAUUGUGACCUCGAUGUUGGAUUAGGGCCACAAUAAUUUAACCAAUUAAUGUGUUAGUUCUGUUCGAACUUUUUUACCUACAUGAUCUGAGUUCA